AAUUUGUUAAAAUCCAUCGUCUAAGCUAGAUAUGAAAUUAGGAUAACACAUAAAUUUGAGCUCAACAUUCAUAAAAUCUGACUGGCAUUAAAUAUUAAAUUUUUUUCAGAAAAAACUGGACGUUCUAGAGAACCUGGAUGAGUACAAGGUGAAAUCUAAUGGGAAUCAUGUUGUCUUUGGAAAAUAUGCUACAAAAAUGACUGCUGAGAAAUUUUUCCGAUUUUUCGCACAGUGUCAAAGCCCAUGUAAAAAGACCUUAGCAUUAAGAUUUCUGAUGAGGACCUUCUUCAAUGAUGAGAUAUUAGCAACCAGGUCAUUGAGUGGUGCGGUCAGCAACGCACAUCGUACACUACCUCCGAAACCACCAUUAGACAUCAAAAUAAUAACGGAUGUUUAUUAUUUGGCGAGAAAUUUUUUGAAGAUUGAUACAUAUAUGUUUUGCAGAUUAGUUACAAGUUUAUGUGCGGAUUCUGUAAAAAAAAUGGGGAAGAAGAAAAAGAAGAAUGUGGAAAAACAAGAUGAUGAUCAGAAAUAGUGACUCAGGUCAUCAUUAUUAAUAUUUUAUUUAUAAUUUUUUAUAAUUUAUUUAUUUAUUUUUAUUUAUAAUUUUUUAUAAUUUAAUAAAGUACUAAGCAAUGAUGUA